rnacentral:rRNA from 1 species
UUUGACCUACGGGAGGCAGCAGUGGGGAAUAUUGCACAAUGGGGGAAACCCUGAUGCAGCGACGCCGCGUGAAGGACGAAGUAUUUCGGUACGUAAACUUCUAUCAGCAGGGAAGAAAAUGACGGUACCUGACUAAGAAGCCCCGGCUAACUACGUGCCAGCAGCCGCGGUAAUACGUAGGGGGCAAGCGUUAUCCGGAUUUACUGGGUGUAAAGGGAGCGUAGACGGCGAAGCAAGUCUGAAGUGAAAACCCAGGGCUCAACCCUGGGACUGCUUUGGAAACUGUUUUGCUAGAGUGUCGGAGA